rnacentral:ncRNA from 1 species
GGGGAAUGAAGUUCUCCCCCGGUUUGAUACCGAAACCGCUUAAUGCUGAUGACUUCUGCUUUA